GCAGGGCGCGGACGGAGUAGAGGGAGGUAUGCGUGGCUGGCGUGACGCCCGUGUGACCGGAGGGAUCGAUCACGACGUUAUGAAAAGGAAGGAUUUUAAUGCGGGAGGUUCCAAAACUAACUCAACAUAUAUGUUCACAGGAGAGAACGAGGUGAUGUAUUCAGAGUGAAACACGGAGCAGUAAAUCCUCCACGUCGGGGAUUCAUCUGUAAAAGACGCUUCUAUAAUCCGUGAAUCAAGAAUAUAAACAGAGUAUUGACAUCACAAAGCCUCUCUGGAGGGAAGAGUUCCUCUUUAAUCUCCCUCUGAAGCGACUUCACACCUCUUCACUUCGCACCGGCGCUCAUUAAAAAAGAGCGUGCACGCCGCCGCCGCCGGUCAGCGCCCCCCUCCAUCCCUCGCACCUGGCGCUCGCGGCCCACCGAGCGUCCGUAAUGGCGCCGAUUAGACGCGGUAAUCGGCUCUGGACCCUCGUCGGGCGGGAGGUCGGAUCACGAGACAAAUAAGCAGGAGGUGGCUCCCCGCUGGCCUCCUCACCGCCAACCGCUUGUUACCUUGAGGUAUUUAUCAGACUCCCCCCCCCCGCCGCCGCUCCGAGGGCCUUUAAUUGCGCCUCGUUCUCCGGAGUUCACUUGACCAAGUGCAGGUGCGGCGUCUGAGAAAAUAAUAAUUGAACAAACGAUUCUAGUGAGUUUCCCACACACACACACAGUGUGGGAGCGUCGGGACGCUGCAGUGACCUCCGACCCCCCGGCCUCCUGGUGACGGGCCCACGGCGUUCAAGAAAACAAACGCCGCCUCAGCACGUCAACGCGUCUCGGGGCCUCAGGAAAGAUCCAGCAGCCCCCAAACACUACGAGACCUGGACCGGACCGCCCCCCUUUGGGGGACUCGUCACUCUUCUGGUCCCAUUGUUCCCUCGGAGGGCGAAUGACAAGCGGCUGAUUGUGACAGGACGGACGCUAACAGACCGUCAGACUGAAACAACACGGGCGAGAGCGAGACGCGCCGGCUCUCUGGACGCCUCCGCGUCGAGGCGGCUCGUUGUUUCAACACAUUGUUUGAACAUUAUUUGGAGUUUGAUGCCACUUUUCGAGCGAGGAACACCAGGUUAUGCGUUCGCAACGAUUUUUUGGAAGCGAAACCUUCAAAUUAAUCUUCGAGUGCGCUUUUUUUUCUUCCUCGAUCAAUCCGAUAAACGCUCCUCCCGGAGGAGUUCUCCCUCCAUGCAGGAGGACGUCUUCCUCCUCUUCUUCCUCCUCUCUUCGUCGUUGUUGGCAUUGCUUAUGUAAUAACAGAUGGAAGAGAGAAAUUAACACGUCUUGCCUCUCUCGUUAUCCUCCUCUCUCCAUUUAUUUUUAAUGCCGUGAGCACGAGCGUCUCUCGUUCUCUGUGUAUGUCUCUCGCCCCGUGUGUGUGUGUGUGUGUCUGUGUGUGUGUGUGUGACCCCGGCAGGCCAGCAGCACCUGUCAGGAGUGUAUCCACCGUGGUUGCAUGCCUAAUUAGCACAAAAGGAAUUUGGUGCCAUCGAUGGGAAGAAGAGAGUGUGGGGUGCAAUUAGGAUUUGUUGGCAUGUACAGAACACACAGCGAAGAGGAGGAGGAGGAGGAGGAGGUGUGGGGGCUGAGCGAUGCAUGUGUGGCUUGACACUUCUCUACUUUUACAACUUAGGCGCUUGAAUAUUCGAGAAAUUUGUUUAAAUUUGAAAUUCCACUUUUGUGAAGUGGGCCAAUCACGUCGCUUUAAAGCCAGGAGCGCUCGCCGUGAUUGGCUGGCACAGGAGUCGUGUCACUGGAGGUGUGUCCAAACCUUGAGGCAGCUGUAGCCAAACACUGGGUCGGGACCCACCGGAGGGUCGCGGGAGAUUUCAUUUGGGUCGUCAGGAACAUUUUAAUAAAUCAUUAGAAAUAGAAAAAUCCUAAUAAAAGAUAAUGCACAAUGCAUAUAUUGUUUAACCCCUCACACACUCUCACACACACACACACACACACACACAGAGAUGAAGCUCCCAUCAAAUCCUCUCAGCUUCCUGCAUUUUUUCUGCCGCCACUCAAGACUUUCCCGAACAUAAAACAAAAAGAAGUAAAGUUUGAAAAGAAGAAGAAAUAACAGAUUAAGAAUUCAUACUUACGUCUUUUAGCAUCGAGCCGCCGCCAACGGCUGCCGAGGACUUUGAUGACGGCGUGAUGACCAAAGCGAGGACUUCUGAGGAGGGCGGCGGCGGCGAGGUUUAACUUUGCGAUUUAUUUAUCACGUCCACGGACGUCUGGGCAGAUUGGGGCGGCGGGGGGGCGCCGGCAGCUACAAGGAGUAAUAUUUCCAUGCAUACUAAAAGCGAUGAAUAAAACAAAAAGAAGCAACAAGAAAGGAACGUCGUCGUCUUUGUAGCCAGAGAGGAAAUAUGCGGCGCGUCAAAAAGCAGCCGUCUUUUUAAUCUA